rnacentral:tRNA from 2 species
GGAGAGAUGUCCGAGUUGGCCGAAGGAGCACGAUUGGAAAUCGUGUAACGGUCUAAAGCCGUUCUAGAGUUCGAAUCUCUAUCUCUCCGCCA